GAGACCCGUGCCCACUGUUACCAGCAUGUCCUCCGGGAUGAUGGGUACUCUGUGGGGACCGCCGGUGUUAAAUCGGAGGAAGGUGCGGGCUACGGUAGGUCAGUAUGCCCCGAAUUUCCCGGGCUACACGCGGGCUACAAUGAAUGGGACAAUGGGUCCCUCCCCUGAAAAGGGCUGGUAAUCUCACAAACCCAUCCUUAGUUCGGAUCGAGGGCUGUAACUCGCCCUCGUGAAGCUGGAAUCCGUAGUAAUCGCGUUUCAAUAUAGCGCGGUGAAUA
rnacentral:rRNA from 1 species